AGCAGCCGCGGUAAUUCCAGCUCCAAUAGCGUAUAUUAAAGUUGUUGCAGUUAAAAAGCUCGUAGUUGAAUUUCGGGGUUAGUAGGUUGGUCGUGCCACUGGUACGUACUGGUCUCACUGACUCCUCCUUCCUGAUGAACUGUAAUGCCAUUAAUUGGUGUUGCGGGGAAACUGGACUGUUACUUUAGAAAAAUUGAGUGUUUAAAGCAGGCUAACGCUUGAAUACAUUAGCAUGGAAUAAUGAAAUAGGACGUUCGAUCCUAUUUUGUUGGUUUCUAGGAUUGACGUAAUGAUUAAUAGGGAUA
rnacentral:rRNA from 1 species